rnacentral:rRNA from 1 species
GACGAACGCUGGCGGCGUGCUUAACACAUGCAAGUCGAACGGAAAGGCCCUGCUUUUGUGGGGUGCUCGAGUGGCGAACGGGUGAGUAACACGUGAGUAACCUGCCCUUGACUUUGGGAUAACUUCAGGAAACUGGGGCUAAUACCGGAUAGGAGCUCCUGCUGCAUGGUGGGGGUUGGAAAGUUUCGGCGGUUGGGGAUGGACUCGCGGCUUAUCAGCUUGUUGGUGGGGUAGUGGCUUACCAAGGCUUUGACGGGUAGCCGGCCUGGGAGGGUGACCGGCGGCAUGGGGACUGAGAGACGGCCCAGAAUGCUACGGGAGGCAGCAGUGGGGAAUAUGGCGCAAUGGGCGGAAGCCUGAUGCAGAAACGCCGCGUGCGGGAUGACGGCCUUCGGGUGGUAAACAGAUUUCGCCUGUGACGAAGCGGGAGUGACGGUAAUGGGUAAAGAAGCACCGGCUAACUACGUG